rnacentral:misc_RNA from 1 species
GAUGAAGAACGCAGCGAAAUGCGAUACGUAAUGUGAAUUGCAGAAUUCAGUGAAUCAUCGAGUCUUUGAACGCACAUUGCGCCCUCUGGUAUUCCGGAGGGCAUGCCUGUCCGAGCGUCAUUGCUGCCCUCAAGCACGGCUUGUGUGUUGGGCUCCGUCCCCCGAUCCCGGGGGACGGGCCCGAAAGGCAGCGGCGGCACCGCGUCCGGUCCUCGAGCGUAUGGGGCUUUGUCACCCGCUCUGUAGGCCCGGCCGGCGCUUGCCGACACAUCAAUCUUUUUUCCAGGUUGACCUCGGAUCAGGUAGGGAUACCCGCUGAACUUAAGCAUAUCAAUAAGCGGAGGA